UACAGAGGGUGCGAGCGUUAAUCGGAAUUACUGGGCGUAAAGCGUGCGUAGACGGUUAUUUAAGUCGGAUGUGAAAGCCCCGGGCUCAACCUGGGAAUUGCAUUCGAGACUGAAUAGCUAGGGUGCGGUAGAGGGAAGCGGAAUUUCCGGUGUAGCGGUGAAAUGCGUAGAUAUCAUGAGGAACACCAGAGGCGAAGGCGGCUACCUGGACAGUUACUGACGCUCAGGCACGAAAGCGUGGGGAGCAAAAGGG
rnacentral:rRNA from 1 species